rnacentral:rRNA from 1 species
AACGUAGGAGGCGAGCGUUAUCCGGAUUUACUGGGCGUAAAGCGCACGCAGGCGGUUCCGUUAGUCGGACGUGAAAGCUCCUGGCUUAACUGGGAGAGGCCAUUCGAUACUGCGGGACUUGAGGUUGGGAGAGGAGUGUGGGAUUCCCGGUGUAGUGGUGGAAAGCGUAGAGAUCGGGAGGAACACCUGUGGCGAAAGCGGCACUCUGGCCCACACCUGACGCGGAGGUGCGAAAGCGUGGGUAGCAAACAGG